ACAACCAACAAGUUGCCAUUUGACAAUGGCAGCCUCUUCGUGGCUAGUGGAGCUGAGCGGGGCCCUUUCUUCUUCCAUUGGCCGUGACACGUCGUUCCGAACUACCCGUAGCCAUCAGGAGUUAUUCAAGACAGCAGAAAAGUUAGGCGGGGAAGCCCCUCCCUCUCGCCAGCGAAUCCAGACUGGUACCGACUACCGAGUCGCCUGGCGUUCGUCUUCGGCCCUGCCCACAGCUCCGUCUUCCGUGCGCUUCUCAUCUCCUCCUCUGGAGGUCAGCCUCGGCGUCCAUGGCUGUGCCAUGGUGGAGCCUCGAACGGUCAGUGCCACCACCUCCCGGCGCCGCAGCCCUCGUCUCGACUCUCGAUCUGCUGAGCUCGGUGUCGCAAGCAAGCCACGGGGCCAGGCUACCGAGGGCGGCGAGAUCUAGCCCGGAUUCGUUUGUUGGAUUAUUUGCUUGCAGCUUGCACUUUCCGACUCGUGUUUUUGAAAACUUUCCGAGUGUUUCCUUCGUUAUACCAUCUCCUCUCUUUUUCCCCCCCUUUACUUCAAACGAUUUUUUCCCUAACCAAACCCAAAACGAGGCUUGUGUUCUCGAUAUUUUCCUAGAUAACUAGAAAUCCCAUUUUACUCUCUCAAUUUUGUAAUAAAAUAUUUCGUAUUUUCUUCAUUCUUCAUUCAAUUUUUCUCUUGGAACUGAAAGUAAAAUCAAACGGCGUCCACACGUGCAACUUCACAGGCCCAUCUUGUGAAACCUUCCUUUGGGCUUCGGUCGAUUUUCGAGCCCAAUGUGGAAGGCCUGUCCAUGAAACAUAUCAGGCCCCAACAUCUUUAGCUCAGCGAUUUUCUGAAUUUUCCUUCCCCUUUCUCCCGCCCCUCACAAUGACCACGAAGGUGAAGUGACCCUCACAAUGACCUCACCUUCUCCCACACCUUUUCGUUCUUUGUCGCGCCGUUGCUCUUGAUUCCCCAUUCGGCGAUCCCCCUUUCUGCUCCCCAAACACCCCAAGCUGCGGGAACCGAUCGCCAAGAUCGCAGCCAUGGAGAACGACGCUGCCGCCGUCGCGGCCUACGACUACGAUCUCGCCCUCGAAGCCGGCGAGCCGCGUCAGCUUGGGUUCCGUUUCCGCCUCCCUCGGCUGAGGCUCCGCGACCCCCGCCUCAGCGCCGCCGCCGCCGUGGCGUUGUGGGGAGUCGCCGGUCUCCUGUCCACUACCGUGCCUGACCUCGCCGCCAACAGCGAGCACGUCCUGCUCUACUUCAUCUUCCUCGUGGCUGGAGUCCUGCUCCUCCUGCUCGCUCUCGCGGCGCCGGACCUGCACGUGGCGGACCUAGCGGCUGGUCGCCUGGAGGGCUGGAUCAGGGCCAUGAUCUUCAGGGGCGCGUGGGAGAUGGGCAAUUAAUUCCCCUGAAGCUUCUCGUACGUGAGGCCGAUUCGACCCGUCUUAUUUCUGGUGCUCUGUUUUAUUUUCUUGCACAAAAAACUUGUUCAUGAAUUGCUGCAGCUUUAUUUUGACCCUGUAUGUGUACAUGAAUUAUGAACUGCAGUUUGCAUUCCUCCUCCUUGCUAAGACUUUGUGUAUACAUAAUGCUAGUUUUCCUUGCAUGAGAUGAGCACGUCCAUUUCUGUGGUUUAUAUAUAUGUAAAAGUUAACCUAGAUGCAAUACUUUUUCUUGAGUUCAGUUGCAGUAUACUAUCAUAUAUAGAGUGCAUGCGAUAGUGUGGCUCACAUACGAAUGCUGGUCAUAUAGCUUGCAAGCUUUUAGCAGAGCAAUUCUAGUUUUUGUUAUGAUGAUCUCAUGGAUAGUAGUAUUUAGUUCUUUUACAUUCAGAUUGGUAGUAGGUUUUCGGAUAUGCUCACAUUUGAAGCUGUAGAUAUGCCACCUUUUCUCUGCUAGCAACUAGCAAAGCUUCUAGUUCAAACUAGAGGAAUAAUGGAUAUUAUUUUACAAUGCGAAUAAUGCAAAAUGUUUAUGUUGGCGCAUGCACCAGUAGAACUUCAAAGGAUUGAAGCAUGCAUGCGCUUGUUUAUCAUCAUUCGCCGCUGCUUUCUGGUAGUCUCGGAAAAUAAGGAUUUGCUCACCGUUUGGCGCUGAUCAAUUUUGAAAACUACCUUUUAUUUCGGCAUUGAAACAAAAGAUAAUUAUAUCUGACCAUCUGAUCAUCAUGCAUUUCUCGCAUUAUUACAUCUGGUCAGCAUAUCUGACCAUCUUUCUUUAAAAUGAUCUUACAUGAUAGUCAUAUUACUUGUGUAGUUGUGCACCUCAUACUCCCUCCUUACUUGAAAAGAAGUCGUUUUGAACAGCAACACGUUCUUCAAAGCUUAACUUUAACUUCUUAUUUUUAUAAAAAUAUUUAUUGCAAAGUGAUAUAUUUAUAUUGUUAUGAAAGUAUUUUCAAGACAAAUCUAUUCAUAUACAUUUUGUAUUUUAAAACUCAACAACUUAAAAGUUAUUCAUAAUUUAUAUUCUCAAUAUUUGAUCGAAAUUUUGUUCAAAUUAAAAUGACUUUCUUUUCGAGUAUGGAGGGAGUAUUAAAGUUUUGUGUCUAACUGUUUCAAUAAUGUCACAUUUAUUUCUCAUCCCACAUUUCUGUCUUCCGUGAGGUUGAUUCCUACAUGUUAGGCCAUCACUCGCUAUCGCCACUCUUAGGCUCCGUUUGACAUAGCUUCACGGUCUUUUUUGGACUAGCUUCAAGUUUGAAGCCAUCCAUAUGCUUCCACUAGUGAGGUGAAGCUAUAAAAAUGUAGCUUUCACAGAGAAGAAGCUCUUUUGACAAACGUUUUUCAAAAUAGUUUCAGCUUCAUCAGAGAAGUUGUUUCACCAAUUGUUUCAAGAGAAGCUGAAGCUAUGCCAAACAGGAUCUUAGUGGAGAGUGUCAUUGCAUAGCUAUCAAGACAGAAAACUUAGUAACUGUGCCGGAGUCUCAUGCUAUAAAAUUUUCCAUCAUCCUUCCUCAUAAAUGACUCUUUCAUCUCAGCAAAAUUGCUGAUGUGGUAUAACAUUUAAUGCUCAUAACACUCUUAUAACACUUUCAUUAAGAUUUGUCAUCCGUGGCUUGCAUCUACUUUAUUGAUGUACGUGAUGGUGCAAAUCUGUAUAAUCUUACAUUUUACGGCCAUAGGAGGUGAUAUCCAGCCUGCCGUGCCUGGCAUCACCGGGCUACGGCGGCGGGGACGGGAGGGCUAUAUGUCCCUCAGGCUACAGUUGACCGAUCCAUCACCUGGAGGAAAUUAGUGGGCCGGCAGAACUAAUUCGGCCUAAUAACACUUUCGUUGGCAGCAUGUAGCAAGCAAGUCUGCUGUGCAUAUGCAUGCAGGUUGGUCCAAUAAUACUUUCUUUGGCAGCAUGCAGCAUGCAGCAUGCAGCAAGCAGGUUUGUUGUGCAUGCGCAUGCGUAUGCGCAUGGCAGUUUUACACAGAGACGCAUGCACAUCGCAGCGGCAGCAGACCAGUUUGCUAUAAAGGGGCCGUUUAGUUCCCUGGGUGAAAAUUUUUGGAUGUCAAAUCGACUGUUUGACCAGAUGUCGGGAGGGUUUUUCGAACACUAAUUAAAAAACUAAUUUCAGAACUCACUUGGAAACCGCGAGACGAAUUUUUUAGGCCUUUGACCGCAUCAUUAGCACAUGUGGGUUACUGUAGCACUUAUGGCUAAUCAUGCACUAAUUAGGUUUAAAAGAUUCGUCUCGUCGUGUACAUCCAAACUGUGUAAUUAGUUUUGUUAUUUAAUUACAUUUAGUGCUUCAUACAUGUGUUUAAAGGGGAGGUGAAAAAUUUUGGGUGAAAAUUUUUGGAAACUAAGUAUUUAUUUUUUUCUUUUUCCUGUCGCUUUCUUUCAUAUUACUCCAUUGCUUGUAGUUUUUAUUUUCCUUUCUCAUUUUGGUGUGUAUAAAUGCUGGUCAUUGUCAGAGUACUAUUUUCUUUUCUUUUCUUUUUCUUCUGCUCUCUUUCUCUUCUUUUCCAUUUCUUUCCUUACAGUUUAUAUUUUACUUACAAUUUUUAUUUUAUUCUUUUAUUUCUUAUUUUAUUUUUUCUAUUCAUCCUAUUAUUUUAUUUUUAUUCAUUUUGCUCCGAAGUGACAAUAUUCAAUCCUCGUAUUAUAAUCAGAUUUUUUUUCUUCCAUUUUUUCUUCUGUUAUUUAUUUUCUCUGUUUUCUUCUAUUUUAUUUUUUACUUUUAUUCUCAGUUUUUAUUUCUUGCAUUUUACAUUGACUUUUCUAAUUACAUUUUUUAUUUCUUUUAUUUGGUUGUUUUUUAUCCUAAAUUGUUAUGCGAGUUUGUACCACUAAAUUUUAAAUUUGUAUCUUUUUCUUCUCUAACAUUUUAAUAGAAAAUUAUAUAUUCUAGCCCUACAACACCUAGUAUAUUUGUUACUGCUUAGUAUUUCUUUCCACAUGCAUAGUUGGCACCUCAAUUUGUUCCAAAUUUGCAAGUACUUAGUAUAUUUCUUUUCACACGAUGAUUUAUUUGUUUUAUUAUAGAUUCAUAAUUUAGUGUGUGAAAGAAUUUAUUUUCUUUAUAUACUAACUUCUUUUAACACCUGUAUAUAUACUUAUAAAACUGUUUUUUAGGUGUGAAAUGAUUCAUAAAUUAUAUGUUUGAUAUAUACUUAUAUAUAUAUAUAAUUGUAUUGUAGAUGUAUUCAUCUUCAUGAAAAAAUAUUUGUUUGCGUGUAACUAAUUUGUUCGUAACAUCAAAUUCUUUGUUCGCUUUGUAGAUUACAUUGUUCGGUCACAUUAAUCUAUUUAUUUGCUAUAUAUAUAUAUAUAUUCAUUACUUAUCCUAUACAAUCAAAUAUUCGUGAUGUUUAAUAGUUUGUUCGUUGUAUACUAUUAUUUAUUUGUUUGUUUAAUUAUUUUGUUCGUAAAAAUAAUUAUUUAUUCGUGUUAUUAAACUUUUUGUUCUUAGAAUCCGAAAUUAAUUAUUUAGUACUAAAAAAUAUUUUAAAAAAUAUCGUGCAAACAUAUGUAAGUGUGUUCUUAUUUUGAAGAUCUUGUCACGAGAAAGAUAAUGGUGUAACUCAAAUUUAAUUUAGAUGUUUGAUUUAAUAGUUAUAAAUUUUUUAGUUUUAGAUUUUGCAUGCAUGUGCGUGAUGUCAUGGUCAUUGUCCUCUUUUUGCAUGCAUGAUUUCAAUCUCUCUCCUCUUUAGUUGUUAACCUGCGCAAACAGUUCGUGUCACUAUGUUAUUGGGCUGACGGCCCAUAUAAUCCGUUCUAGUUAAUUUGUUUAGGUGAUGGAUUGUGUGAUUGUCGCUUGCGGUUUCGUAUAGCCAUGCACCGGCUGGGAGGAGGAGGUUUGCAGUCCAAGGAUUUGGAUAAGAAGCUGCAGGCGAGGGCUUUCUUUGCCUAGCACAGGGGGCUCCUGCGGUCCCACGUGCCUUCCCCCAUGCGCCCUCCCCUGUAGCUCCCGGAGCUCGCGAAGAAGGGAGGGAGAGGGUCGCCGGCACGGUGAAGUGGAUGACCCAAAGGCGAAAGGCGGCUGCGGGGGCUCGCGGCGAUGGCGGCGGCGGCAAGGGCUCACGGCGACGGCGGCAGUGGCGAGGGCUCGCGGAGGUGGAGACGAUCGGGGCACACGGUGGCAGAGAAGGGAGUCGGGUUGCGGGCGGCAGAGUUGGCGUGCAGUGGAGGGGGUAGCGUGAGUGUGCGGCGGCGGCGGAGAAUGGAGGGAGGGCCGCCAGCGGAGGGCUGGGCCGGCGUCGUGGGAGCUCCGGCAUCAUGGCAUUGGGACGCCAUGCUGCUGCGCUGCUGAGUAGAAGGAGAUGGUCUGUGGGGUGGAAAAAGAUAAGGAAAGAUGUAUGACAAAGGGGGGCCACUACUCAAUAGGAGAAGGGGAAGGAGCGAAGGAGGGGCAUGGAUGGAAAAGCUGUUGGAUUUCUCACCUUUUGAAUAGCUAAAUAGCUAAUUAAAUGAGAUUUGGCUAGUGUGAUUUGAAGAUGCUCUUAGUUUCUUUUCUCUUUCCUCUUGCUUUUAACAUAAACGCUUCAGUUUGUUUUUUUUCUAACAUAUAACCAGCAGGGGAGCUCUCCCCUGACCCCUCCUGUUUUUCAUUAAAAAAAGGAAAAUAAAAACAAUUCAGCUUUUUUUUGAGGGGUGAAAAACAAUUCAGCUUUUUUUUUGAGAUAGAAAAAUAAUUCAGCUGGGAUGAAUUGGAUGCGAGGAAGAAAGAAAUUGUUCGAGCGGGCCCGUUAUCUACGCUCCCUUAUCUGGGCCUCCCGGGCCGUUUUCAGGCCGCAUCUUGCAUGCUUUGCUACCGUUUCUUUAUUUCCAUGGGGGAAGAGGAAGACCAGUGAUAAUGAGGUCUUCAAACUCUUCAAAUCCAUCCAUCGGAAUUCUUUGCAUAUUACUACGAAGUAGUAACCGGCCUUGGUUUUUCCCUCUGCGGAUGCGUGGAAGACGACGAACAGCAACUUGAAUGUUGUCCAAGUCACUCCAGCUGGGCCGUCCUCCCCCAUUGGCCGAGAGUCACAUCUCUCUGAGCAAGUCAAGGACAGCAAUGCGUACGACCAGAAGCCUCAUUGAUUUAAUGCAGUAGGCAGGCAGCCUAAUUACAUCCCCCUCCCCAGUAGUAGCCGGUGGGUAGCAUAGUCGCCAUGUGAGGUGCUAGCACGCAGCUCCAUCUCGGCGACUUCGCUCGCUUCUACCCCUCCGCUUCCUGCGGUGAUGAUAUGCGCAAGCAGCUUCCGAUGGCCGGCCGGCGGCGCAGCUCGCUGCUUGCCUUUCGCCGACGAGCAGCCCGGCUCUGGCUGGCAUCAUGCAUGUGCUAGCUUGCGGCCUUGUGGACCGGCUGCUCCUGCCAUGGAAGGGGCAUGGGACUAGCUAGAGAGCUUGCUCUCUGUUCACGUACGGAUCAAUGUGAUGCUCUGCCAGUCAAUCUUGCAAAAGCAAAACCCAACGCAUUCAAGGGGGAGAAAAGCACCAAGAUCGUGUAAUGCUGUGCCGGUAUAUGUUGAGCGUAGAGUACUACUGUUUCUCUGCUUAAUUGAGCAUGCAUUUAUUUGCUUGCUUGCUUUUGUUUCUAUUAGGCUGGAAAGGCUUUCCUGUAUAUGUCGAUUUGUAUGGACUGCAAGCAUACAUAAUUUGACAUCUUCAGAGACGUACGUGCUGCCCAUGUGUGCCAAGUUCAAGUUCUACU